rnacentral:rRNA from 1 species
AGUUUGAUUCUGGCUCAGAUUGAACGCUGGCGGGAUGCUUUACACGCUGGUCAGGCAGCAGCACGGACUUCAGUCUGGUGGCGAGUGGCGAACGGGUGAGUAAUGUAUCGGAACGUGCCUAGUAGCGGGGGAUAACUACGCGAAAGCGUAGCUAAUACCGCAUACGCCCUUCGGGGGAAAGCGGGGGACCUUCGGGCCUCGCACUAUUAGAGCGGCCGAUAUCGGAUUAGCUAGUUGGUGGGGGUAACGGCUCACCAAGGCGACGAUCCGUAGCUGGUUUGAGAGGACGACCAGCCACACUGGGACUGAGACACGGCCCAGACUCCUACGGAGGCAGCAGUGGGGGAAUUUUGGACAAUGGAAACCCUGAUCCAGCCAUCCCGCGUGUGCGAUGAAGGCCUUCGGGUUGUAAAGCACUUUUGGCGGGAAAGCGGCUGCAGGAUAAUACCCCGUGCAACUGACGGUACCUGCAGAAUAAGCACCGGCUAACUACGUGCCAGCAGCCGCGGUAAUACGUAGGGUGCAAGCGUUAAUCGGAAUUACUGGGCGUAAAGCGUGCGCAGGCGGUUCGGAAAGAAGAUCUUGAAAUCCCAGAGCUUAACUUUGGAACUGCAUUUUUAACUACCGAGCUAGAGUGUGUCAGAGGAGGUGGAAUUCCGCGUGUAGCAGUGAAAUGCGUAGAUAUGCGGAGGAACACCGAUAGCGAGGGCAGCCUCCUGGGGGAUAACACUGACCUCAUGCACGAAAAACGUGGGGAGCAAACAGGAUUAGAUACCCUGGUAGUCCACGCCCUAAACGAUGUCAACUAGCUGUUGGGGCCUUCGGGCCUUGGUAGCGCAACUAACGCGUGAAGUUGACCGCCUGGGAGUACGGUCGCAAGAUUAAAACUCCAAAGGAAUUGACGGGGACCCGCACAAGCGGUGGAUGAUGUGGAUUAAUUCGAUGCAACGCGAAAAACCUUACCUACCCUUGACAUGUCUGAAUCCCGAAAGAGAUUUGGGGAGUGCUCGCAAGAGAACCGGAACACAGGUGCUGCAUGGCUGUCGUCAGCUCGUGUCGUGAGAUGUUGGGUUAAGUCCCGCAACGAGCGCAGCAUGACAUCGGUAGUUGCUGAAAGGCACUAAUGAGACUGCCGGUGACAAACCGGAGGAAGGUGGGGAUGACGUCAAGUCCUCAUGGCCCUUAUGGGUAGGGCUUCACACGUCAUACAAUGGUCGGGACAGAGGGUCGCCAACCCGCGAGGGGGAGCCAAUCCCAGAAACCCGAUCGUAGUCCGGAUCGCAGUCUGCAACUCGACUGCGUGAAGUCGGAAUCGCUAGUAAUCGCGGAUCAGCAUGUCGCGGUGAAUACGUUCCCGGGUCUUGUACACACCGCCCGUCACACCAUGGGAGUGGGUUUUACCAGAAGUAGUAGCCUAACCGUAAGGAGGGCGAUUACCACGGUAAGUUCAUGACUGGGGGUGAAGUCGUAACAAGGUAA